GGCGGCUUAUUCGGCUCAGGAAACCUAUUUUCAGCCCGUUUGACACCAUUCCGACCCUCCCGGACCGGGUUUUGGCCCUGUUUAAGGAACCAACCACCAACGGACGCGUAGGACGUUCACGAGGAGCUAGGAGCUUACGUUAUAUUCUAGGGAGUACUUCGGCUAAGGCCUACCAAAUAAAGGCAAGGCACCCAUGUGACAACGACGGCGACAUCGUACACCUCGCGACCGUGG